rnacentral:lncRNA from 1 species
GGAACAGAAGGCAGGAGAGUCUUUGUUUAGAGGAUUCCAUCAAUAACCUUGAUAUAAAUGCAAUGGUUAAAUGAAUUAAUUCAAUGUGCUUAAGACUUUUGUUUUCUAAAAAAUAAAUGAGAAGCCUGCAUGUACUAAACACAAGGUUUAGUGGAGACCUUUUUCUGAAUAGAUUAAAAAAAAUAAAAAGCGCAAUUUUUCAUUACCGAAGAUGAGUCAAGGAAAGAAUGUGUGGCUAAUUCAGAUGAGAGGGGACCCCGGGGCGGGAUUUGGAGACAUGUUAAUGCAAACACUUGGGAAGUUAUCAAAGUGAUAUUAUCAUCUCUUGAACGUGUUUCGCAGCUUGAAAACAGCCUUGCAUAAUUGCAUCUGAAAUAUAAAGGGAAAACGACCAGAGAUAUUAUGUCUCUUCGCAAGGCUGUGCCUAAUUUGCUCCUCUCUGAUGAUUCUGUUUUCCAGGCUCUCUACAGUUUUCGACAAAACCCUUCAACAGCAUCCGGCUAAUGUUGCUUUCUGAAAUGCUACAUUGAAGACAAAGGUUAAAUUUAAAGAGACUUCCCUGUGGCUUCCUUCCAAUGUAACAGUUUGCUGGAUGGUUGUACAAUUGAUGAUGUUGAGUCACCUGUUUGUCUUGUGCCAGGUGCUCCGGAGUCGACGCUUCUGAUCCAGGAAUCAAAAAUGUAGCAGAAUGUUCAAGAUUCCAGGACUGCAGGCAGAGGCUGGCUUGCUUGCUAUUGAUCUUAUGGCGGCUAUGAUCUACCUCUACGGUUGGAGGCAGUUGCUGGGAAUCAGAAGUGUGUGUGUGUGUGUGUGUGUACGUGCAUGCGUGCACGUGCAAGCGCGCAGAGGGUGAGGAGUUCUGUUGAACUUAUUCAGCUACAGGGCUCUUCUUAUGUACAUGCAGGUCCCACUUAACAAACACAAUGCGUUUCCUGGAAAGUGUUCAUUAGGCAAGUGUUCACAUAAAGUCCACAAUUUCCAUUGAUUCCUAUGGGAAAGCGUGUUCUCCUUCAUGGAGAGCACGUGUUGCGAUGGGGUCUAACAAGACACCUUUCCGAUUGGGCUCCUCUUGUCGUUGGGGAGAAUUUGAUGUUGCCAUUUUUUGAUUGACAGCCAAGAAGUCUUUUAUUCCCUGCCUGCAGUGUUGAGCUUCCUCUUUUCGCUGCGUGCAUUGGAUCACCCGCC